rnacentral:rRNA from 1 species
UACGGAGGAUGCAAGCGUUAUCCGGAAUUAUUGGGCGUAAAGCGUCCGCAGGUGGCACCUCAAGUCUGCUGUCAAAGACCGGGGCUUAACCCCAGAAAGGCAGUGGAAACUGAAGUGCUAGAGUGCAGUAGGGGUAGAGGGAAUUCCCGGUGUAGCGGUGAAAUGCGUAGAGAUCGGGAAGAACAUCGGUGGCGAAAGCGCUCUGCUGGACUGCAACUGACACUCAGGGACGAAAGCUAGGGGAGCGAAUGGG